UGAGGUCUCGUUUGCUAAAUU
rnacentral:miRNA from 1 species